AGUUUGAUCAUGGCUCAGAGUGAACGCUGGCGGCAGGCCUAAUACAUGCAAGUCGAACGGCAGCACAGCAGAGCUUGCUCUGUGGGUGGCGAGUGGCGGACGGGUGAGGAAUACGUGGGAAUCUGCCCAGUCGUGGGGAUAACGUAGGGAACUUACGCUAAUACCGCAUGCGCCCUUCGGGGGAAAGCCGGGGACCUUCGGGCCUGGCGCGAUUGGAUGAGCCCACGUCGGAUUAGCUAGUUGGCGGGGUAAAGGCCCACCAAGGCGACGAUCCGUAGCUGGUCUGAGAGGAUGAUCAGCCACACUGGAACUGAGACACGGUCCAGACUCCUACGGGAGGCAGCAGUAGGGAAUAUUGGACAAUGGGCGCAAGCCUGAUCCAGCCAUGCCGCGUGAGUGAAGAAGGCCCUCGGGUUGUAAAGCUCUUUUGUCCGGAAAGAAAAGCGCCAGGUUAAUACCCUGGUGUCCUGACGGUACCGGAAGAAUAAGCACCGGCUAACUUCGUG
rnacentral:rRNA from 1 species